GCUUCUAAGGUAAAGGUGAAGGGCAUUGGUAAGAUACUUAUUCAACUCAAAGAUGGAAGCCAACAAUUUAUUUCCAAUGUCUAUUAUGUGCCUGAUAUAAAAACCAACAUUCUUAGUGUUGGGCAACUCUUGGAGAGAGGAUUUGAUAUGCAACUGAAAGAAGGAAGCUUCUAUUUAAGGAAACAAAAUAAAUUGAUUGCUCAAGUUCCU
rnacentral:lncRNA from 1 species